CCUACGGGCGGCAGCAGUGAGGAAUAUUGGUCAAUGGACGAGAGUCUGAACCAGCCAAGUAGCGUGAAGGAUGACUGCCCUAUGGGUUGUACACUUCUUUUAUCUGGGAAUAAACUGUUCCACGUGUGGGAUUUUGUCUGUAACAUAUGACUAAGGAUCGUCUAACUCCGUGCCAGCAGCCGCGGUAAUACGGAGGAUCCGAGCGUUAUCCGGAUUUAUUGGGUUUAAAGGGAGCGUAGGUGGAUUGUUAAGUCAGUUGUGAAAGUUUGCGGCUCAACCGUAAAAUUGCAGUUGAAACUGGCAGUCUGGAGGACAGUAGAGGUGGGCGGAAGUCGUGGUGUAGCGGUGAAAUGCGUAGAUAUCACGAAGAACUCCGAGGGCGAAGGCAGCUCACUGGACUGCAACGGACACUGAGGCUCGAAAGUGUGGGUAUCAAACAGGAGUAGAUACCCGGGGAGUC
rnacentral:rRNA from 1 species